rnacentral:rRNA from 1 species
AUGAUGUGGUUUAAUUCGAUGCAACGCGAAAAACCUUACCACCUUUGACAUGUACGGAACUUACAGAGAUGGUUUGGUGCUCGAAAGAGAGCCGUAACACAGGUGCUGCAUGGCUGUCGUCAGCUCGUGUCGUGAGAUGUUGGGUUAAGUCCCGCAACGAGCGCAACCCUUGUCAUUAGUUGCUACAUUCAGUUGGGCACUCUAAUGAGACUGCCGGUGACAAGCCGGAGGAAGGUGGGGAUGACGUCAAGUCCUCAUGGCCCUUAUAGGUGGGGCUACACACGUCAUACAAUGGCUGGUACAAAGGGUUGCCAACCCGCGAGGGGGAGCCAAUCCCAUAAAGCCAGUCGUAGUCCGGAUCGUAGUCUGCAACUCGACUACGUGAAGUCGGAAUCGCUAGUAAUCGUGGAUCAGAAUGUCACGGUGAAUACGUUCCCGGGUCUU